GUCGAGCGAGAAAAGGGCCGCAAGGCUCUGAGUAAAGCGGCGCACGGGUGAGUAACACGUGGGUAAUCUGCCCUGGAGUGGGGAAUAACACCGGGAAACCGGUGCUAAUACCGCAUACGAUCACGAUGUCUGCGGAUGACGUGAUGAAAGGAGCAAUUCGCUCCAGGAGGAGCCCGCGGCUGAUUAGCUAGUUGGUGAGGUAAUGGCUCACCAAGGCUACGAUCAGUAUCCGGUCUGAGAGGACGGUCGGACACACUGGAACUGAGACACGGUCCAGACUCCUACGGGAGGCAGCAGUGGGGAAUUUUUGGCAAUGGGGGCAACCCUGACCAAGCAACGCCGCGUGGAUGAUGAAGUCUCUUGGGACGUAAAAUCCUUUCGACGGGGAAGAAAGCCGCAAGGCUUGACGGUACCCGUAGAAGAAGCCCCGGCUAACUCCGUGCCAGCAGCCGCGGUAAUACGGGGGGGGCGAGCGUUGUUCGGAAUUACUGGGCGUAAAGGGCGCGUAGGCGGUUUGUUAAGUUGGAUGUGAAAACUUUGGGCUUAACCCAGAGCCUGCAUCCAAAACUAGCAGACUAGAGUUCUGGAGGGGGUAGCGGAAUUCCUGGUGUAGCGGUGAAAUGCGUAGAUAUCAGGAGGAACACCGGUGGCGAAGGCGGCUACCUGGACAGAAACUGACGCUGAGGCGCGAAAGCUAGGGGAGCAAACAGG
rnacentral:rRNA from 1 species